rnacentral:rRNA from 1 species
GCGGGGGGGGGUGCUAUACAUGCAGUCGAGCGCGGGAAGCGAACGGAACUCUUCGGAGGGAAGUUCGUGGAACGAGCGGCGGACGGGUGAGUAACACGUAGGCAACCUGCCUGUAAGACUGGGAUAACUCGCGGAAACGCGAGCUAAUACCGGAUAACACUUUCUAUCACCUGAUGGAAAGUUGAAAGGCGGCUUUUGCUGUCACUUACAGAUGGGCCUGCGGCGCAUUAGCUAGUUGGUGAGGUAACGGCUCACCAAGGCGACGAUGCGUAGCCGACCUGAGAGGGUGAUCGGCCACACUGGGACUGAGACACGGCCCAGACUCCUACGGGAGGCAGCAGUAGGGAAUCUUCCGCAAUGGACGAAAGUCUGACGGAGCAACGCCGCGUGAGUGAUGAAGGUUUUCGGAUCGUAAAACUCUGUUGUCAGGGAAGAACAAGUACGAUAGUAACUGAUCGUACCUUGACGGUACCUGACCAGAAAGCCACGGCUAACUACGUGCCAGCAGCCGCGGUAAUACGUAGGUGGCAAGCGUUGUCCGGAAUUAUUGGGCGUAAAGCGCUCGCAGGCGGUUCUUUAAGUCUGAUGUGAAAUCUUGCGGCUCAACCGCAAACGUGCAUUGGAAACUGGAGGACUUGAGUGCAGAAGAGGAGAGUGGAAUUCCACGUGUAGCGGUGAAAUGCGUAGAGAUGUGGAGGAACACCAGUGGCGAAGGCGACUCUCUGGUCUGUAACUGACGCUGAGGAGCGAAAGCGUGGGGAGCGAACAGGAUUAGAUACCCUGGUAGUCCACGCCGUACACGAUGAGUGCUAGGUGUUUAAGGGGGUUUCCGCCCCUUAGUGCUGAAGUUAACGCAUUAAGCACUCCGCCUGGGGGAGUACGGCCGCAAGGCUGAAACUCAAAAGAAUUGACGGGGACCCGCACAAGCGGUGGGAGCAUGUGGUGUAAUUCGAAGCAACGCGCAGAUCUUACCAGGUCUUGACAUCCUUUGACCGCUCUAGAGAUAGAGUUUUCCCUUCAGGGACAAGUGACAGGUGCUGCAUGCUGUCGUCAGCUCGUGUCGUGAGAUGUUGGGUUAAGUCCCCGCAACGAGCGCAACCCUUUAAUCUUAG